GGAAGCUCGGUGAGAACCCGACGCGGUCGCGCCACUGUGAGAGCCCGCCACCUCCGGUCCGCCGGUCGGGGGAGCUCGAGCCAGAC
rnacentral:ncRNA from 1 species